rnacentral:rRNA from 1 species
AUGAGUCCAAGCAACGGAUAUCUUGGUUCCCACAACGAUGAAGACCGCAGCU